GUGCGACUUUUUAGAUGCAGAAGAAGGGAGUAAUCCUUCGCUCAUUUGGAAGAGUAUUAUUGCAACCAAAAAUUUUCUUUUGAAAGGGGUUCGAUGGCAUGUUGCUGACGGAAAUUCGAUUUUUGUUUUUAAAGAUCCUUGGCUUAGGGGUGCUAAUAAUUUUUCUGUCGAUUCAACUCCACUCGAAAGAAUGGAAAAAUCAAAGGUUUGUGAUUUGUUUAGCGUUGAUGGGUUGUCAUGGGAUCGGAAUCUUAUUGAUGGUGUGCUAUCUCCAAGUGAUGCGGCUCGUGUAUAUCAGCAGCCUAUUGCGCAAAACAAAGUUGCGGAUAGCCUCGUUUGGCAUUUUACUGCUGACGGGGUGUACUCGGUUAAGACGGGGAAUUGGCUUGCUGUGGGUAGUGAUCAUGGUUAUUUUAGUCGUUUUGUGGAGGGGCAUUGGUCCCGUAUUUGGAAAAAGUCAGCUGCUCCCGAAAAUUAACUUCACUUGGCGAUGUUUGAAGGGUUUUCUCCUAUGCAAAGCUCGUCUAAACGAAAAGGGCAUCCCUAUGGAGAGUUGCUCUAGGUGUGGGGAUGUGGAGACGCUGGAUCAUGUCUUACUGAGAUGACCAAAAGCGGCAAAAGCUUGGUGUUUAGCAGGAAUGGGCAGAUUCGCAGACUGUUUUUGCUGCUAUUGGUGGAACGAACGGAGGUGCUGCCGCGGAUGAUCGUUGUUGGACAACGCCGACUGUGGGGUGGAUUAAAUGUAUCGUGAUGCUUCUAUCUUUGAAGAACGGCGAGCGACAGGCUGGGAGGCUGUCAUUAGGAAUGCCGCGGGGCUUUAUUGAGCUGCUGAACAAGACGUCGUGAGGGGUCUCUACCUCCUCACAUUGCUGAAGUGGUCGCGAUGAGAAAAGCAUUGUCGUGGCUACCUCAUCUGGCCUAUGAUGGACUGAUUAUUGAGUCGGAUGUUUGUUUAAAAGUAGUAAAGGCCAUGGUGAAGGACUCCAUGAUAUUUCGAAAUUUGGUUUAAUAAUUCAAUAUUACAAGGCUCAAUUUCAAUCUA